rnacentral:rRNA from 1 species
AUUGAACGCUGGUGGUAUGCUUUACACAUGCAAGUCGAACGGUAGAGGGGCAACCCUUGAGAGUGGCGAACGGGUGAGUAAUACAUCGGAACGUGCCCAGUCGUGGGGGAUAACGUAGCGAAAGCUACGCUAAUACCGCAUACGACCUGAGGGUGAAAGCGGGGGACCUGCAAGGGCCUCGCGCGAUUGGAGCGGCCGAUGGCAGAUUAGGUAGUUGGUGAGGUAAAGGCUCACCAAGCCGACGAUCUGUAGCUGGUCUGAGAGGACGACCAGCCACACUGGGACUGAGACACGACCCAGACUCCUACGGGAGGCAGCAGUGGGGAAUUUUGGACAAUGGGCGCAAGCCUGAUCCAGCCAUACCGCGUGCAGGAAGAAGGCCUUCGGGUUGUAAACUGCUUUUGUCAGGGAAGAAAUCUUCUGGGCUAAUACCCUGGGAGGAUGACGGUACCUGAAGAAUAAGCACCGGCUAACUACGUGCCAGCAGCCGCGGUAAUAC